rnacentral:lncRNA from 1 species
GAACCCCAGUCUGUCUGACUUGGAAAAUUGCAAGGUUGAAAUCCUGAAGAUUGUUGAUACAAACAAGGAUGGGAAAGUCUCUCGAGAUGAACUUUCUUUGUUGCUCUCGGCACAGUAGAGAACUUUACGAUAGCUUUAAAAAGCAGUUUUAAUAUGCUUUCAGCGCACAAAAACUGUUUUUCUUCUUUAAGAAUUUAGAAUCUAGAUCUAUUUAUUAAAGCAGUCAUUAUGCAUGAGUAUUUAUUAAUUAUUUAAUUUAUUUAUAUAAUAAAUGAAAAUAAGGGUAUAUAGUUAUUACAUAUUAUAUCAAAUUCACAGAAACUUUAUGCUGGUCUGGUAAUCUUGUCAUAAU